rnacentral:rRNA from 1 species
UACAGAGGUGUCAAGCGUUGUUCGGAUUCAUUGGGCGUAAAGGGCUCGUAGGCGGCCAACUAAGUCAGACGUGAAAUCCCUCGGCUUAACCGGGGAACUGCGUCUGAUACUGGAUGGCUUGAGGUUGGGAGAGGGAUGCGGAAUUCCAGGUGUAGCGGUGAAAUGCGUAGAUAUCUGGAGGAACACCGGUGGCGAAGGCGGCAUCCUGGACCAAUUCUGACGCUGAGGAGCGAAAGCCAGGGGAGCAAACGGG